rnacentral:rRNA from 1 species
CCCUUAGAUGUCCUGGGCUGCACGCGUGCUACAAUGAUACGUGCAACGAGUUAAUCCUGCUCUGAAAGGAGUGGGUAAUCUUAUGAAUGCGUAUCGUGCUUGGGAUUGACCAUUGUAAUUAUUGGUCAUGAACGAGGAAUUCCUAGUAAGCACAAGUCAUCAGCUUGCGCUGAUUACGUCCCUGCCCUUUGUACACACCGCCCGUCGCUACUACCGAUUGAAUGGUUUAGUGAGAUCUCUGGAUUGACGCUGGCUAGGGGGCGACCCUUGGCCAGACUGCUCGAGAAACUGCUCAAACUUGAUCAUUUAGAGGAAGUAAAAGUCGUAACA